rnacentral:lncRNA from 1 species
ACACGCAGCAUGACAGCUAUACUACGUAUCCGCAGCUGCAGCAGUGUGGGGUAUAGUCCUGUUCAGCUCCCUGCAGCAGAAAAAUAAUGAAGCCCUACCUAAUAAUAAGCAAAACACCCCUCCAUGAUGACACGAUAUGGCGGCCGCAGCAGCAGAGUUUGGUACUGCUAAUAAUAAUAGCAACAACAGUAAUGUACAUCCAUCAGCUUAUUGUUGCCGUUGCCACCACUCAACAAAAGCUACAACAGAUACAACUACUACGACUACUACUAGCAAUAUACCUCUUUUUUUGUCUUAUCACAGAGCAGCACACAGAAGAGCACAUACACGUCUGUAUACAUCUGUGUACAGAGACGCGGCGUGUCGUGCACACAUGUACUAUUAGUACACAUCUCCUAAACGUUCAUCUUCAACGGCGCACUGCCCAAAAAGAUACGCCGCUUGACAUGCUUAUAAUUAUAAGGUUGGGAGGAAAGUCGUGGGGGUGGGGAGACGGUGGAGGUAUAGUAGCGAGACGGUGGAGGACGUGGUGGAGAGACACAGAUACGCCGAUACGGAGAGGACGGAGAGGGUUUGGUGAUAUUUCUGGGAAUGGACACAGAGCGACACAGAGUGACCGACAGCAGGGCAGCAGGAGGGGGACGGACUCUGACACAGAGAGAUUGUUCGUGAUGUAAUUAUUCAUCGUCAUCAUCAUCAUCGUCAUCGUCAUCGUCAUCAUCCUCCUCCAUCUGCAGGAGAUGUUCCACUGAUGCUAUUAUUAUAUCUAUAUGUCUAAUACAGCAGCAGCUUUAGCAAAAGAGCGUCCUUGACGUAAUUAAUAAGGACACGCCUUUGCAGAAAGUAUAAGGACACGCCUGACAAGAUAUACGUGCUCUGCUGUGAUACGUGCUGAAAAAUAGGAGUUAGUUCCAGAAGUGCUAAAUUAUAUGUAUGUACUUCUUUGUCGUCCAACAACUACUGGUGGGCGCAAUCUAUAAUAAUGAUGAUGAUGCUAAAUGAUGAUGAUGCUAAAUAUCACGCAGAGAAGAACAGAGAAUAGAGCACAACAACCACCAAUACAACAACCCCGCGAAUCGCGCUUUGUCGUAUAUUAGUAAUAAAGUGCGCCGCCCCUACUUCUCACCGCUCGCCGACGACAAACAGACAAUUGAAAUGAGACCGUCACAGCGAGAGCUAUCAGGACGUUUUUAAAAUUUUAUUUAUGGAGCAGGCGCCAAGUAGAAAACAAGCCGCGAAGAAGCAGAAGACGACAUGUGUCUAAUGCGCGCGAGCCACGGAACAAGACAAAUACCAAUCAAUAGACCGCAACAAAAGCACAAAGAAACAGCUUUAGCGUCCUUGAAAGGACACGUCUGCAGUAAGGGCGAUUCACAAGAAGGUUGUAGAAUAUAGCCUAACGCUGCCUGGUCCGAGGCAUCGGCUACUCCGCCCGGAGUGGUGAGUGAGUCUGUGCUAAGACAAAGAGUAAAAUUGCAGUACGAAUGCGCAAUUGGUGAUCGCGGGUUCAAGCCACGGCUGAUGCAACUGCGGUUGCGAUUUGGUGGGUUCUUCGCUGACGUGGUAUAUUAUUAACCGACUUGUCCAGCACAGCAGCAUGAGACGAUUUAUUAAGCUUUCUUCAACUUUUGUUUUAUAAAUAAUAACAAUCAUUGUUGAAUUGUUGAAACAAGAAAAUGUGUUUUUUCUUAAUGUAUACAACCUAACGUUCUUUUCUGCAUGCUGCAGGACAGGAAGAAGCAGGAACAGCAAAACGUACGUGAGGAGGCGGCACGUGCUAUUAUUAUUAUAGAGUGCUGGCGGGAGGGGGAAGAGGAGGAAGAGGAGGAGGAGGAGGAGGAGGAGGAGGAGGAGGAGGAGGAGGAGGAGGAGGAGGAGGAGGAGGAGGAGGAGGAGGAGGAGGAGGAGGAGCAUCAGGCUGAGACGUGGAGAGCAGCAGCACUGCUGUGGAGGAGGAGCAGGAGCAGGAGCAGGAGAUAAUGCUGGAUAAAGAUCGAGGCGGAGGAGCAGGAGCAGGAGUAGGAGCAGGAGCAGAAAGAAGACUAGCAGCAGCAAGCCCCUCCAAANNNNNNNNNNNNNNNNNNNNNNNNNNNNNNNNNNNNNNNNNNNNNNNNNNGUUCAGCUCCCUGCAGCAGAAAAAUAAUGAAGCCCUACCUAAUAAUAAGCAAAACACCCCUCCAUGAUGACACGAUAUGGCGGCCGCAGCAGCAGAGUUUGGUACUGCUAAUAAUAAUAGCAACAACAGUAAAUGUACAUCCAUCAGCUUAUUGUUGCCGUUGCCACCACUCAACAAAAGCUACAACAGAUACAACUACUACGACUACUACUAGCAAUAUACCUCUUUUUUUGUCUUAUCACAGAGCAGCACACAGAAGAGCACAUACACGUCUGUAUACAUCUGUGUACAGAGACGCGGCGUGUCGUGCACACAUGUACU